GCCACCCGCCGAAUUUCCAGCCGCCCGAGCCCGUUAACUUCGCCAGCCAUCGGGUCGACUGCCCCCGCCCCAAACCCCCAUCCCCGAGCACUAGCUAUCGCCGCGUUGCCGCCCCAAGCUCCACGCCACCGGGAACGAAUCAAGCGCCGUCCUAACACCGUCGUCACCGGCUCAGCACCUCCAGCCUUGCAUGGACAGCUUCAAUGUGCAGUCUUUCUUGCUGUCUCACCUUCUGCCAGCGCAUGCAGCGGCGGGGUUGGAUGCGUGCGUGCUUGCUAGCUUGCUCUCCGUGCGUACGUACUUGCUCUGCGUGCGUCGCACCGGCCAAUGCGCAUGAUGCGUGUGUGCCUGCUUUUCUGUAUGUGUAUGCCAGUGUGAUGCGUGUGUGCGUUGCUGUGUGUGUAUGAUAUAGAUGGCCCGAGUGUGUGCAUGUUGUGCUCUGCUCUCUGCUGAUCUAUGUGUUGGUGCUCCUGCUAUAUGUUCAUGCCAUACAAAUGAAAUUUCUGUUAAUCUUCUGACAUGUUGAGUUGGUUCUCUCUGUCUUCUGAGGGGGUGAAUGCAAAGCAGUCUAUUAAGCCAGGCACUAUUGCUGAGCUAAAUUGACAAAAAAAUAUUGGUAGCCAUAGUUGUAGUUUAAGUAGUAGCGAGUUGUCUGAUAUGUAUAAAGAGCCCGUUGCAACUGAGCCCGUUGCUAAAUUGACAAAAAAGGUCACCAGUGUCACUUGAUAUGUAUGAGAAUAUUAAAUGUAUUAUUAACACGAUUAAUAUUGAACUCUUAAAGUAAUGUGGCCCCGUUGCAACGCACGGGCGUUCUUCUAGUUCCUAUUAGUAUAUCUCUCCCAGGGCCUAUCUACCUACCCCACAUAAAGCCACUGUAGUCGUCCCGCCCCAAACCGGCUCAGACGCGCUGCCAUGUUCUGGGCCACGGCUCGGGCCUGAGACCAUAACGGCCACCAUCCACUGGCCAUCUUAUCUACUGUGUCUCACCUACCACCCAUCCUCCUCUCGAUCCUUCCUGCUCCUCUCUCCUUAUACCAUACAACCUCGCUGCAAGAAACCAGACCGAGGCCAUGUGCUCAUCAGCUUCUUCCUCGUACCAUGAGGCAUGAGAGGAAGCUCCUGCUCAUCCCUUCCCGGAUUGCGGCGGCAAGGUCGUCACCUUUGUCUCGCGGGCCGGAGCCCGGUUCUAUAUGUGCGUAAACAAGGAUGCUAGACUAGCGGCUUCAUGAGAUCCACCGACACUUACCUGCCGAAGCUAAGUUGCUAUGACCUGCCCCACGUGCACGGAUUGCAGCAGCCGCUGUUGUCCGUGCAUCCAUCGUCGUCUCUCCAACACAGAUCUCGUCGGGAGCAGCCUUUCCCCGACGAAACACAGAUCAACCACCAAGCUGCACAUGUACGUCCUCAGCCACAGAUUCUGCAGUCGGCCCCUCACUCCGGUUCUUCGUGGUGUUGCUCGUCUGACUCUCAUCGCGUAUUUGGUGCUCCUGGCCGGCAGCAACCUGGUGCUUGUGUUAGCGUGGUUGGUUCUGAUUUUCGGGCAGCAUAACAAUUAGUAUUUCUUUCUAGCUAAGUAGAGCCAGGUGGCAGCGUCCAAGAUGUACUACGAACAUAUGUAAUCCCAAAUAGAUUUUGGUACUAAGCGCUAAGUCCUUUAUCAUUAGCCCUAGUGUUUUCUUGUCUGUAAUCUCGUGUAAGCAUCGGUUUAAGUAAAAAUACUACUGCUGCCAGACA